rnacentral:rRNA from 1 species
UACGUAGGCAGCAAGCGUUGUUCGGAAUUACUGGGCGUAAAGGGUGCGUAGGCGGUUGGGUGAGUUUGGUGUGAAAUCUCCCGGCUUAACUGGGAGGGUGCGCCGAAAACUGGCUGGCUAGAGUGUGGGAGAGGGAAGUGGAAUUCCUGGUGUAGCGGUGAAAUGCGUAGAUAUCAGGAGGAACACCUGAGGUGUAGACGGCUUCCUGGACCAUUACUGACGCUGAGGUGCGAAAGCGUGGGGAGCAAACAGG